rnacentral:rRNA from 1 species
UCGGGAAUAUUGCCCAAUGGACGCAAGUCUGAGGCAGCAACGCCGCGUGCGCGAUGAAGGCCUUCGGGUCGUAAAGCGCUUUUCGGGAGGAUGAGAGCGGACAGUACUCCCGGAAUAAGGGACGGCUAACUACGUGCCAGCAGCCGCGGUAAAACGUAGGUCCCGAGCGUUAUCCGGAUUUACUGGGCGUAAAGCGCGUUCAGGCGGCCGCGCAAGUCGGGCAUGAAAUCUCUCGGCUCAACCGGGAGGGGUUGUCCGAUACUGUGCGGCUGGAGGGCAGUAGAGGGUGGUGGAAUUCCGGGUGUAGUGGUGAAAUGCGUAGAGAUCCGGAGGAACACCAGUGGCGAAAGCGGCCACCUGGACUGUACCUGACGCUGCAACGCGAAAGCUAGGGGAGCGAACGGG